rnacentral:rRNA from 1 species
UACAGAGGUCUCAAGCGUUGUUCGGAUUCAUUGGGCGUAAAGGGUGCGUAGGUGGCGUGGUAAGUCGGAUGUGAAAUCCCGGGGCUCAACCCCGGAACUGCAUUCGAUACUGCCAUGCUAGAGUACUGGAGAGGAGAUUGGAAUUUACGGUGUAGCAGUGAAAUGCGUAGAUAUCGUGAAGGAAGACCAGUGGCGAAGGCGGAUCUCUGGACAGUUACUGACACUGAGGCACGAAGGCCAGGGGAGCAAACGGG